UACGGAGGGUGCAAGCGUUGUUCGGAUUUACUGGGCGUAAAGCGCGCGCAGGCGGAUUGACAAGUCAGAUGUGAAAUCUCAGGGCUUAACCCUGAAACUGCGUCUGAAACUGCUAGUCUAGAGUCUUAUAGGGGGUAGGGGAAUUUCACGUGUAGGGGUAAAAUCCGUAGAGAUGUGAAGGAACACCGGUGGCGAAGGCGGCCGCCUGGCCCGUAACUGACGCUAUAGCGCGAAAGCGUGGGGAGCAAACAGG
rnacentral:rRNA from 1 species